GGGUUACCACCUCAGUAAGCCAUUCUCUCUCCUAUUCAACUCAAAUGUAAGACUUUCUUUUAUUAAAAUAAUUGAAGCCCUAAUUCCUCUUCAUCUUCAUCUUUCUUUUUGCCUCACAUCAACCCUUUGCUGGUUGCCUAACGCCUGUCACCCGCCACUAGUCAGCCCACCUCCCACUCUGCCCGCAUCACUGCCUGCCUCCCAUGAUAGCAUCUCACAUCCCAUGCCACCCAGCACCUCGCCUGUCGCCCGUUGCUCAUCGUUCGUCGAUUGACCCCAUUGUCAAUUCGGUAAGACACUUAUUGUGUCUCACUUUGUCGCUCAACCCCUUUGUCAUCGUUCGUCUCACUUUGUGUCAAAUCUCUGAGCAUUUCAUUCUUCUUCUUCUUCGGCUCCCAACAAAGCAAGAUGCCAUUUUCAGAGCUCCAUAUUUUAUUCGUCCGUUGCAAGACCAUGAAGAGGGUUCUCUUGGGAGGAAUGAGGAGUUACAAGAAACACACCAACAAGCAUUAUUAUCUUCUGCUUCAGAUAGUGUGCCAUUGUCUGGUUUAGUGAUAUGUCUUGCAUCCAAAUUUCUGUAUUUGUUGAAUAUACAAAUGAUCAAAAUUCUGUAAUUUCAAGUUA